rnacentral:rRNA from 1 species
ACGAACGCUGGCGGCAUGCCUAACACAUGCAAGUCGAACGAGACCUUCGGGUCUAGUGGCGCACGGGUGCGUAACGCGUGGGAACCUGCCCCUCGGUUCGGAAUAACACAGAGAAAUUUGUGCUAAUACCGGAUGAUGACUUCGGUCCAAAGAUUUAUCGCCGAGGGAUGGGCCCGCGUAGGAUUAGCUUGUUGGUGGGGUAAUGGCCUACCAAGGCGACGAUCCUUAGCUGGUCUGAGAGGAUGAUCAGCCACACUGGGACUGAGACACGGCCCAGACUCCUACGGGAGGCAGCAGUGGGGAAUAUUGGACAAUGGGCGAAAGCCUGAUCCAGCAAUGCCGCGUGAGUGAUGAAGGCCUUAGGGUUGUAAAGCUCUUUUACCAGGGAUGAUAAUGACAGUACCUGGAGAAUAAGCUCCGGCUAACUCCGU